GAUAGCACACUUGGUUAGAGCAUGGUGCUGAUAACGCCAAGGUUGCAGGUUCAAUCCCUGAAAAACA